rnacentral:rRNA from 1 species
CAAUAGCGUAUAUUAAAGUUGUUGCAGUUAAAAAGCUCGUAGUUGGAUUUGUGGUGUGUCCUGUCGGCCGUGCGACUUUGUCGCUUGCGCUGUACGGGUCUGCCAUGUUUGGGUGGAAUCUGUGUGGCAUUAGGUUGUCGCGCAGGGGAUGCCCAUCGUUUACUGUGAAAAAAUUAGAGUGUUCAAAGCAGGCUUAUGCCGUUGAAUAUAUUAGCAUGGAAUAAUGAUAUAGGACCUUGGUACUAUUUUGUUGGUUUGCGCACUGAGGUAAUGAUUAAUAGGGACAGUUGGGGGUAUUCGUAUUCCAUUGUCAGAGGUGAAAUUCUUGGAUUUUUGGAAGACGAACUACUGCGAAAGCAUUUACCAAGGAUGUUUNCAUUAA